AAAGAAAGAAAGAUCUACAUGUCACCCACCUUCUGGCAACCCAAGACCUUGCAGCUCCAGGGGCAGCACAAACCCCCUCCAAAGAGCGUGCCCAGAAGGAACACACUUGAGCACUAGGCUGUCAUCAAAUCCCCUUGACCACGGAGUCGGCUGGGAGGAAGACAAGACAGCAGUACGCUGGUGUUUACUGUGGGUGUCCAGUCCAGCAAGCACCAGAUCAAACAGGCUGUGAAGCCUCUAUGACACUGAUGUAGUCAAAGUCAAUACCCUGCUAAGACCCGAUGGAGAGAAGAAGGCCUGGCUGGAUGUUGACAACAAAACUGGGAUUGUC
rnacentral:lncRNA from 1 species